rnacentral:rRNA from 1 species
UAAUACGUAGGUCCCGAGCGUUAUCCGGAAUUAUUGGGCGUAAAGGGUGCGCAGGUGGUUAUGUAAGUCUGGUGUGAAAUUUUUGGGCUCAACCCAAAAAGGUCAUUGGAAACUGCAUAACUUGAGAGCAGGAGAGGUAAGUGGAAUUCCUAGUGUAGCGGUGAAAUGCGUAGAGAUUAGGAGGAACACCAGUGGCGAAGGCGGCUUACUGGACUGUAUCUGACACUGAGGCACGAAAGCGUGGGUAGCAAACAGGAUUAGAUACCCUGGUAGUCCACGCCGUAAACGAUGAGUGCUAAGUGUUGCGGGUCAAACCGCAGUGCUGAAGUUAACGCAAUAAGCACUCCGCCUGGGGAGUACGACCGCAAGGUUG